AAAAUUUAAAAUUAAAAUACUAAAAUAGUAGAUAAUUAUUUAUUGAAACUUAAAUAAUUUGGCGGUAUUUUAGUUCAUUUAGAGGAAUCUGUUUAAUAAUUGAUAAUCCACGAAUAAAUUUACUUAAUUUAUAAUUUUGUAUAUCGUUGUUAAAAAAAUAUUUUUUAAUAAAAUUAAUAUUUAAAAAUUAUAAUAUAAAUUUAAAUCAGAUCAAGAUGCAGAUUAUAAUUAAGAAUAUAAUGGAUUACAAUAAAUUUAUUUAAAUGAAUAUUAAUUUGUAAAAAUUAAUUGAAAGUGGAUUUAAAUGUAAUUUUAUUUAAUUUAAUAAAAUGAUUAAAAAUUAAAAUAUGU
rnacentral:rRNA from 1 species